UUUUGCUUCAUAUCGGAGGGAAAUUUCGGAGGGAACUUUAUUACUUCUUUAUUUUCGCUCUCUUUCUCACUCUCUCACGCCUCUGCCCUCCUCCAGCUCUCUCUCUCUCGCCUUUGUCUCCGUCGGCGUCAGGUACGGGAGCAUCACCGCCAUCACGCCUCUGCCCUCCUCCAACUCUCUCUCUCUCUCUCUCUUUCUGAUAGCAGCUCUGUUCUUGACAGUGGCGAGCUCGGAUGCCCCUUUCAUCGUCGCCCACAAGAAGGCCACUCUCACCAGGCUCAAGUCCGGUGUCGAAUGUGUCUUCGCUAUAACUAUAGCUCAAUUUAUCAUUUCCUGUUUGUAGAUAUGUUUUUAACUGCUGGACAUGUACUCGGUGUUGCCCACACAUUCAGAAAUUUGGCAUGGUUGGGAGAAACAGUAAAACUUAUGAUCUAUUGAAGCAGCAAAUGGAAGUUGUUGCCAAAUCUGAGGUAUGAAUGUGUUGGUUAGUUUAAUCAUAUGAAAAGAAGUCAAUUUUGGGCAUUCUACAUAUUGAAGACCCAUUUCUACUACUUGGUCUAAACUUGAGCACAUCUAAUUCAUUUUUGAAACAAUUGAUCUUAUGUCAUUUUUUUACUAUCAAAGAAAUGAAAGGAUUAUAUUGAAGUGUAAAUUUUAUGUAAAAAAUUUAAUAUGAAUUAUAUAUAUGUAUAUUACUUUUUUUUAAUAAGAAAUUAAUUUUUUUUAGUACAUACAAAUAGUGAUAAACAUGGUCAGGCAAUAUGUUAGAGCAAUUUGGUUAUCACUGUUGAUUGUUAUUGCAGUAAUUCUGUUUUGAUUACAUUCUCUUUUACUCAGCGACAGUGAUGAUAGGUUUUUGAUUCCAAUGCAACUUGAUUUCUUUUUUCUUUCUUACUGGCUAAUAUAUACAUUGUAAAUUAUGAUUUGAAUGGCAUGUUACAUUAGGAAACAUCACAUGUCAGCCCUUGCUGAAAAUAAAUGUCUUGAUAUGCACGCAUAAGUUAGUAUCGAGCAUUUACACAAUAAGCGCGCAGUUGGUCAAUGAAAAUAAAAAGUUCUUGACAUAGAGUUAAAACUUAAUAACACUUACUAAAUUAGCUGUUAAAAAAUUGUUUCAAGUUGAUAAUGAACUUCAUGUAAACUGUCUAUUGUUGUUGACAUUUCUUUAAGUUCUAAUCCAGUUAAGUUUAUCAUUUUUUUGGUUGUGAGAUUAAAGAAAUUUUGUUUCAUGCAAUCGUAACAUAGAUUGAUUUUUAUAUGUAAAAAGAUCAUUAGAGAUAGCUUGUCUUGCAAUAUUUUUAUGACAAAGCAUGUAAUUUACCCCUCAACACUAUCAUCACAUUGAUAUCAUUCAUAUUGACUUACGCAUUAUAGUUAUCUCUUCUCAAAUUAUUUGGUUUGGAAAAAUAACUCUGCAAUAUUUCCUUUAAGGUAAUUUACUUCAUUUCUAUUUCUUUAUCUUGGUGGAUUUCAGGUUUUCUCGUUUACAUUACUAUAUCAGUUACCUUUCUAUUUCCUUUAAGGUAAUUUACUCGUUUGUUUUUAUUUUUCUAUUGUUUGGUGGCAGGUUCUUGCCAAGGUAGAAGGUCAAAUGAGGUAUUACCAAACAUUAUUAUUGAAGCAACAAGUCGGUCAGAGUUCGUUGUUAGUGUCAACAAGUACCUUGAAGCGCGGAGCCAGAAGCUCUCUACAGAUUGCUACUUGUUGAUACUUCAUGCUUUCAAGCAGGAAGGUCGGAGCAACAAGCAUACAUUCAGAAAGUUCACAAGUGUUUUAGAUCAAUGGCUUCAUUGUUAAAUUAAGCAAGUGUUUUAGUAAAUAAAUUUAAUUUUCCCAUCAUGUUUACACCUUCAAAAUAUUUUGUAAAUGACAUUUGAUGUAGAAUUUUGUGUACAAAGGAUAUUUGUUUUGUAUGAUUAUAUGUUUGUAUGGAAUUAUUAUUUUGGGUUGGAUU